rnacentral:lncRNA from 1 species
CAUCUUUAGACAUUUGUAUAUUUUAUUUAUCGGAGUUUAUAACAGUUACAUCGAAGCCACACUGUUUAGCCUGCUGAGAUGAAAAACUCGCUAGACUCUCAGUGAGUUGCAUAAUCACGACAGAUCGUGAAUGGAGCACAGUUGAGGCUGUUCGAAUCCCCCCUGUGCCAGCGCCAGUGGUAAGAGCACCGAAAACCCAAACAAACAUCGAUAGUCCUGCGAUUAAAGCAGUUUAUAUUUGCAAAAAAGUGCAGUGUCACUGGUCUCUGCAGAGUCAGUGUAUAUUUGAAUCAACCAACAUCUACGACUACCCUGUUUAUUGGAAGGUAUCGUAGGAAAGACUGUCCUGUGCAAAUACCCGUGAACCAUAAAGCAAGAAAACCUGAAAACUGCACUGAGACUUCCUGUGUGAGGGGGGAAAAGCACUUUCAAGAAGGAAAGGAAAGACCUACUUGACAAUUUUUUGGAUGCUUGCUGCUUUUCAACUUUCACUUUUUUCUCCUGAGGAAAAAGAGUAGUUGAUCAAGCUCACUUGAGGAUUUCUUUUUGGACAUGUUUGGCUGUUGCUAAAGCCAUCUCAACUUUUGAAUUUUGGAUUUCGCAUAUCUAUGAAACCAGAGCUCCACACUGUUCCUGCUACAGUCAAAACCUGAAAUAAUUUGAUGGGAGUAAAAUAUAUAAUGCUAGAAACAGCAUUAUGAUGUACCAUCCAACAUCUUCACCGUUUCACUAACAAGAACUUAUAAUGUCGGCAAUGUAACGUAGGGCUUUACUGGCUUCAUUGUCAUGUGACUUUGAAACUUUAAGAGUUAUUUUCUCCAAACGAAGACAGUCUUUUCACCACUUUAAUGAGGUGAGCAGUGGUUUGCAGUGACCUCCAUUGCCAAUAAAAGGCUGUCUCUCAAUUAAUUUUUCUUUUCUGAAUGUGUUUGAGUAGGUCUUAAAAUGAUUCGGUAAAAGACGAGUCAACACAAAAAACAUACUGGCACACAGUGUGGCAGGACAACACCUGUCUCUCUCCACGCACCUGGUGUCAAAGUGGAACUGCUUCAAAAACCGCUGUCCAUGCUUCAGUGCAGACGACUCUCACAGACUGUUUCUUUAUAUUAAUAAUAACCUGGCUCUUCCUCCCAUUUGGGACAAAUCACUAGUCAGUCAAUUUCUUUUGCCAAUCAGCAUCAAGUCUAAUCAGGUUUUAAGUCUUACCAUGAGAUUGUGAGCAAAUGGUUCAAAUAAAUUGAGGGAUUCACUCUACCUGGAGAAAAAAAGAAGAAAAAAAGUUG